CCCACUACCUAAUAAUAAAUAAUAAUAAAAGAAGUGAUUGAAGUCAAUAAGGAAGAAGUGGUAUGUAUUGUCUUUGGUUCAUCAACCUGUUCAGCUGGAGGUAAAUUCGAGAGAGAGAGAACACUUGCUGGAAAUUUUGGAAGCAAGAAGAACAACUCAAGUCUUGUGUUGAAAUGGGAAGAAGUAAACUCAAGAAAUUCAACCAUUGAAGGCUUAAGGGUCAAGUGCAAGGACGAAUCGAGCAUCGGAACAUUGUGAGUAGCAAGAUGCCCAACCCCAACCGUAACGAACCCAAGUAAGAAUGUCAAGUUUGUGGAGUCAACCAUGACAUGCCUCACGAACAAGGCGAUACUUUUAAACUUUCAUUUUGACCCUUUUGUCUUCUUUUGAUGGUCAUGUUUGAUCUUAUCUGUAUAUAAGCUAUGGUUUUGUAUAAAUAUGGUGUUGCAUGGACCUAGACAUAGAAUGUCUUUG